rnacentral:rRNA from 1 species
GGUUAAGCGACUAAGCGUACACGGUGGAUGCCCUGGCAGUCAGAGGCGAUGAAGGACGUGCUAAUCUGCGAUAAGCGUCGGUAAGGUGAUAUGAACCGUUAUAACCGGCGAUUUCCGAAUGGGGAAACCCAGUGUGUUUCGACACACUAUCAUUAACUGAAUCCAUAGGUUAAUGAGGCGAACCGGGGGAACUGAAACAUCUAAGUACCCCGAGGAAAAGAAAUCAACCGAGAUUCCCCCAGUAGCGGCGAGCGAACGGGGAGCAGCCCAGAGCCUGAAUCAGUGUGUGUGUUAGUGGAAGCGUCUGGAAAGGCGCGCGAUACAGGGUGACAGCCCCGUACACAAAAAUGCACAUACUGUGAGCUCGAUGAGUAGGGCGGGACACGUGGUAUCCUGUCUGAAUAUGGGGGGACCAUCCUCCAAGGCUAAAUACUCCUGACUGACCGAUAGUGAACCAGUACCGUGAGGGAAAGGCGAAAAGAACCCCGGCGAGGGGAGUGAAAAAGAACCUGAAACCGUGUACGUACAAGCAGUGGGAGCCUCUUUUAUGGGGUGACUGCGUACCUUUUGUAUAAUGGGUCAGCGACUUAUAUUCUGUAGCAAGGUUAACCGAAUAGGGGAGCCGAAGGGAAACCGAGUCUUAACUGGGCGUUAAGUUGCAGGGUAUAGACCCGAAACCCGGUGAUCUAGCCAUGGGCAGGUUGAAGGUUGGGUAACACUAACUGGAGGACCGAACCGACUAAUGUUGAAAAAUUAGCGGAUGACUUGUGGCUGGGGGUGAAAGGCCAAUCAAACCGGGAGAUAGCUGGUUCUCCCCGAAAGCUAUUUAGGUAGCGCCUCGUGAAUUCAUCUCCGGGGGUAGAGCACUGUUUCGGCAAGGGGGUCAUCCCGACUUACCAACCCGAUGCAAACUGCGAAUACCGGAGAAUGUUAUCACGGGAGACACACGGCGGGUGCUAACGUCCGUCGUGAAGAGGGAAACAACCCAGACCGCCAGCUAAGGUCCCAAAGUCAUGGUUAAGUGGGAAACGAUGUGGGAAGGCCCAGACAGCCAGGAUGUUGGCUUAGAAGCAGCCAUCAUUUAAAGAAAGCGUAAUAGCUCACUGGUCGAGUCGGCCUGCGCGGAAGAUGUAACGGGGCUAAACCAUGCACCGAAGCUGCGGCAGCGACACUAUGUGUUGUUGGGUAGGGGAGCGUUCUGUAAGCCUGUGAAGGUGUACUGUGAGGUAUGCUGGAGGUAUCAGAAGUGCGAAUGCUGACAUAAGUAACGAUAAAGCGGGUGAAAAGCCCGCUCGCCGGAAGACCAAGGGUUCCUGUCCAACGUUAAUCGGGGCAGGGUGAGUCGACCCCUAAGGCGAGGCCGAAAGGCGUAGUCGAUGGGAAACAGGUUAAUAUUCCUGUACUUGGUGUUACUGCGAAGGGGGGACGGAGAAGGCUAUGUUGGCCGGGCGACGGUUGUCCCGGUUUAAGCGUGUAGGCUGGUUUUCCAGGCAAAUCCGGAAAAUCAAGGCUGAGGCGUGAUGACGAGGCACUACGGUGCUGAAGCAACAAAUGCCCUGCUUCCAGGAAAAGCCUCUAAGCAUCAGGUAACAUUAAAUCGUACCCCAAACCGACACAGGUGGUCAGGUAGAGAAUACCAAGGCGCUUGAGAGAACUCGGGUGAAGGAACUAGGCAAAAUGGUGCCGUAACUUCGGGAGAAGGCACGCUGAUAUGUAGGUGAAGCGACUUGCUCGUGGAGCUGAAAUCAGUCGAAGAUACCAGCUGGCUGCAACUGUUUAUUAAAAACACAGCACUGUGCAAACACGAAAGUGGACGUAUACGGUGUGACGCCUGCCCGGUGCCGGAAGGUUAAUUGAUGGGGUUAGCGGUAACGCGAAGCUCUUGAUCGAAGCCCCGGUAAACGGCGGCCGUAACUAUAACGGUCCUAAGGUAGCGAAAUUCCUUGUCGGGUAAGUUCCGACCUGCACGAAUGGCGUAAUGAUGGCCAGGCUGUCUCCACCCGAGACUCAGUGAAAUUGAACUCGCUGUGAAGAUGCAGUGUACCCGCGGCAAGACGGAAAGACCCCGUGAACCUUUACUAUAGCUUGACACUGAACAUUGAGCCUUGAUGUGUAGGAUAGGUGGGAGGCUUUGAAGUGUGGACGCCAGUCUGCAUGGAGCCGGCCUUGAAAUACCACCCUUUAAUGUUUGAUGUUCUAACGUUGGCCCCUGACCGGGGUUGCGGACAGUGUCUGGUGGGUAGUUUGACUGGGGCGGUCUCCUCCUAAAGAGUAACGGAGGAGCACGAAGGUUGGCUAAUCCUGGUCGGACAUCAGGAGGUUAGUGCAAUGGCAUAAGCCAGCUUGACUGCGAGCGUGACGGCGCGAGCAGGUGCGAAAGCAGGUCAUAGUGAUCCGGUGGUUCUGAAUGGAAGGGCCAUCGCUCAACGGAUAAAAGGUACUCCGGGGAUAACAGGCUGAUACCGCCCAAGAGUUCAUAUCGACGGCGGUGUUUGGCACCUCGAUGUCGGCUCAUCACAUCCUGGGGCUGAAGUAGGUCCCAAGGGUAUGGCUGUUCGCCAUUUAAAGUGGUACGCGAGCUGGGUUUAGAACGUCGUGAGACAGUUCGGUCCCUAUCUGCCGUGGGCGCUGGAGAACUGAGGGGGGCUGCUCCUAGUACGAGAGGACCGGAGUGGACGCAUCACUGGUGUUCGGGUUGUCAUGCCAAUGGCACUGCCCGGUAGCUAAAUGCGGAAGAGAUAAGUGCUGAAAGCAUCUAAGCACGAAACUUGCCCCGAGAUGAGUUCUCCCUGACUCCUUGAGAGUCCUGAAGGAACGUUGAAGACGACGACGUUGAUAGGCCGGGUGUGUAAGCGCAGCGAUGCGUUGAGCUAACCGGUACUAAUGAACCGUGAGGCUUAACCUU